UACAGGACGAACGCUGGCGGCAACGCCUAACACAUGCAAGUCGAACGAAGUAGAAGCUUGCUCUGCUAGUGGCGGACGGGUGAGUAACACGUGAGCAACCUGCCUUAAAGAGGGGGACAACAGUUGGAAACGACUGCUAAUACCGCAUAAUGUGCGCUGGAAGCAUUUCCUAUGCACCAAGGAGCAAUCCGCUUUAAGAUGGGCUCGCGCCCUGAUUAGAUAGUUGGUGAGGUAACGGCCCACCAAGUCUGCGAUCAGUAGCCGGACUGAGAGGUUGAACGGCCACAUUGGGACUGAGACACGGCCCAGACUCCUACGGGAGGCAGCAGUGGGGGAUAUUGGUCAAUGGGGGGAAACCCUGAACCAGCGAUGCCGCGUGAGGGAAGAAGGUUUUCGGAUUGUAAACCUCUGUCAUCGGGGAAGAUAAUGACGGUACCCGAGAAGGAAGCCACGGCUAACUACGUGCCAGCCGCAGC
rnacentral:rRNA from 1 species